CACUGUAUUUCCUUAAUUGUUUAGUGUCUAAUUUGCCAUUUGCUUUGUUAGAAUUGCCAUUCAUAUUUGGUUCUUUCAUUCAAAUUGCAAUGCAUGUUAAUAAUUUGUUCGGUUGGGUGCUAGGAUUAAGUCUCAAUUUUUGUAAAUUAGGGCCUUGCACUGAUUUAAUUUAUUUGUUUCUUGAUAAAUUUUUGUAUGAUUCAUCAUUUUUCUGUUUGGCAAUUGUUACAGAUUUUGUGUUCUUUCAUUAAAAUUAUCAAUAGAUUGUUGUAGAUUUUUAGGUCAUCUUAGGGUUAACUCUAUUUCAACUUAUUGUUUUAAAUUGUUGUUCACUGUUUGCUUUGCCAUUGCAUUUAUUAAAAUUGUCAUAGAUAUUUUUUCCUAUCAUUAAUGCUCUCAUAGAUAUUUUAUAUUGUUUAGUUAACUAUUAGGGUUUCCUCUUAGUCAUUUGUAGGUUGUUUAGUUCACCUCUAGGUUAGCUGCAUAUCUAAACUUAUCCUAGAAUUUAAUCCAUUGUCCUAAUAACCAUACUGUACAUUAAUUUCUGGUGCUCCAUUGCAUGUAGGUAGUUGUUACCUGUUAAAUAUAUCAAUAUUUGCAUAAGAAGAACCAACAUUUGACAAGUAUAAGCAGCUGGAUCAACACAGAGAGAAAACACUUGAAUUUACAGCAAAAUGAAAGGUUGACGCCAAAACAAAAAGAAUUUAAGUAAAAAAGCACCUUAAUUUACAAAGUUUAUUGUUUGAAUUUUGCUGUUCACUGUUUGAUUUACCAUUCCCUUUAUUAAAAUUGGCAUGGCUAAUUUUUCCUUCAUUAAAGCUGUCUUAGAUAUUUUAAAAUUGUUUACUUACCUAUUAGACUUUCCUCUUAGUCUUUGCAAAUAAAGGGACUACACAGUGUUGAAAAUUCUGAUAUUUCUGUUUUUCAUAAUUUUAUUUUCCUUUGCUUAUGAGUAAACAAAAUUAAGACUCCUUUUUAAGUUUAUUGCAUUUAAAUUAGGGUGUGUUUAGCUCACUGUUUAGUUCACUGUUUAGCUGAUAUUUCUGUCUUUAUAAACAAAGGGGUUGCACUGUUUUCAUUUUUUUGUGUUUCUUCAUACUUUCCUACUGUUUGCUUCUUAACAAAUCAUCUUCAGGUUCAUUUUCCACUUCACAUCUUUCGAAUCCAUAUGUUGCUAGGUUGUUUUUUCAUUUCUUGGUUUCUUAUAUAUUUCUGAAAUUAACUUUUGAUUUCAUUCUUGAUAUGCAUGUAAAUCCAACACAACCAUACAGAUCAAAACAUCCAUUCACACAACAGCCACAAGACAGACCAUUAGUGAGCUCAAGUAUAUGCACUUUUUUCAGAAACAGAGUCUCAUCCACCGGAAUCUGGAUUUCCUAGCAGCAGUUAUCAGUUUUUUGCUAUAGUGCGGAAGAUGUCCACUCUAAAAAAAAGUGAACAACGCAAUCUCUGUAAGCCGUUCUACAUCUUUUCAGCUAGCAACUUUUUUGCUUCAACACCUGCAUGUUCUUUGCUUUGCACGUUUGUGCUUGGAAACUUAGAUGCUAGAAUGAGAACAAAACAAUCUUUAUCUUUUUUGUCAACUACUCAAACAUGUACCUAACCUAGAAGAUAAUACAUUUUUUCACCUUCGCUA